rnacentral:rRNA from 1 species
GAUUUCUGGUAUGGCGCACUUGGCCCGUCUCGGUUACGAGUUUGUGUGCCGGUGUGCGCCUGCCAUCUUCUUGGGGAAUUACGCUAACUUCACUGUUGGCGUAACUAGCCAAGUCUUUUACUUUGAAAAAAUUAGAGUGUUUAAAGCAGGCUUGUUGCUAUGAAUACAUUAGCAUGGAAUAAUAAUUUAGGACUUUGGUCUUAUUUUGUUGGUUUCUAGGACUAAAGUAAUGAUUGAUAGAGAUAGUUGGGGGUGCUAGUAUUCAGCGGCCAGAGGUGAAAUUCUUGGAUUCGCUGAAGACUAACUUAUGCGAAAGCAUU